rnacentral:rRNA from 1 species
AGAGUUUGAUCCUGGCUCAGAUUGAACGCUGGCGGCAUGCCUUACACAUGCAAGUCGAACGGCAGCACGGGAGCAAUCCUGGUGGCGAGUGGCGAACGGGUGAGUAAAGUAUCGGAACGUGCCCAGUCGUGGGGGAUAACGUAGCGAAAGCUACGCUAAUACCGCAUACGAUCUAUGGAUGAAAGCGGGGGAUCGCAAGACCUCGCGCGAUUGGAGCGGCCGAUAUCAGAUUAGGUAGUUGGUGGGGUAAAGGCCUACCAAGCCGACGAUCUGUAGCUGGUCUGAGAGGACGACCAGCCACACUGGGACUGAGACACGGCCCAGAUUCCUACGGGAGGCAGCAGUGGGGAAUUUUGGACAAUGGGCGCAAGCCUGAUCCAGCAAUGCCGCGUGCAGGAUGAAGGCCUUCGGGUUGUAAACUGCUUUUGUACGGAGCGAAAAGGCUUCCACUAAUACUGGAGGCUCAUGACGGUACCGUAAGAAUAAGCACCGGCUAACUACGUGCCAGCAGCCGCGGUAAUACGUAGGGCGCAAGCGUUAAUCGGAAUUACUGGGCGUAAAGCGUGCGCAGGCGGUCUUGUAAGACAGGUGUGAAAUCCCCGGGCUUAACCUGGGAACUGCACUUGUGACUGCAAGGCUGGAGUACGGCAGAGGGGGAUGGAAUUCCGCGUGUAGCAGUGAAAUGCGUAGAUAUGCGGAGGAACACCGAUGGCGAAGGCAAUCCCCUGGGCCUGUACUGACGCUCAUGCACGAAAGCG